GACGAACCGUGCGAACGUUAUUCGGAAUCACUGGGCUUAAAGCGCGUGUAGGCGGGCCGCCGCGUCGGCUGCUGAAAUCCCCCGGCUCAACCGGGGAAGGGGCACCGAUACGGGCGGCCUGGAGGGGGGUAGGGGGGGUCUGGGAACUUCCGGUAGGGAGCGGGUGAAAUGCGUUGAAGAUCGGAAGGAACGCCCGGUGGCGAAAGCGAGGCCCUAGG
rnacentral:rRNA from 1 species